AAGUCGCCAUGGUUGGGAGGGUGUUGCCCUUCUCUCGAUCCUGGUGGCGUCUGUAAGUCUUAUUAUUUUGAGUGGCGUGCGAGUGACAGAAGAUCUGGUAAGUGAACCAUUAUCUGCAUCCUGUGCUGGAGGUCCGUGUGUCAACUGAAUGAGAAGAAAUAUUGCAGUGCGAGGGAGCAGCACGUGCAUCUCUACCAGCACUGCACUUGCUUAACUGAAGCUGAUGCUUUAAUAGGAAGAUUCAGUUAAGGGGAAGAGGAGGACGAGGACGAGGAAGAGGAGGAAGACGAAGAGGGCGAGGGGGACAAGGACGACGACGUGAGCAAGAAGAACAAGGAGGAGAAAAUGAAUUGCUAUGAGGGAACGCGGGAGAAGGAGCAGGAGGAGAACUGGGAAAACAACAAAAACAAGAAGAGCAGUAAGAACAAGGAGAAUAAGGAAGACAAUAAGAUUCGGGAGGAGGAAGAGAAGGUUGAAGAAGAAGAAAAAGAAGAGGAGGAGAAGGAAUGUGAAUAAGAGGAAAGGAAUAAGGUGGAAGAGGGAAUGUAUGUAGAUGAAACAAGGGAAUGCAGAACGAAAAGAUUGCUCUGUGUCGGUGAGCGUAUAAAAAAAAUAGAGGAAAAAAAAAACAGGGAAGAGUUAGGUAGAGAAAUAAAAAAGUUGGGAAUGAGUUAGGUAGAGAAAUAAAAAGUUGGGAAGAGAAAGAGUAAAGUAAACAGAAAAAAAUAGGAUAUGGUUACUUAAGAAAAAAAAUCGGUAACUUUAGGAAUCUUGCGAACCUGAGAGUUUUACGUAAAGAAGGAAGAAAAGAGGAGAGCAUUGGAAAUGAUCGAGGUAAAUACGAAAAAAAGAAGGAAGAAAAUAAAAAGUUGUGACUGGCAGGAAAAUAGCGUUGGGGAGAAAAUAAGAGGAAAUUGGGUGAGUGUAAUUGCGCGGGAGGUCACGUGACUUGGGGGAUGUGGAGGAGUGGUGAUGGGUGAGGGUGGAAUAAAGGUUUUUGGUGGAAAUAUCACGACAACAAAGAAAAUUGCUUGAAUAUCCUUCUCUUUUCUUCCCUCAUUCCUCCCCUUUCUUCUGUACCAGCACCACCACCACCACCACCACCAUCACCACCAUCACCACCCAUCCUCUAGACCUGGAGCGGCUAAAUAAAUAAAUAAGUAAUAAAAUUAAAUGAAAUAAAAUAAAAGGUGGGUCAGGAAAUAUAUAUGUAUUUUUGUAGGAGAGGCAACCGCAUAGAGAAUAGUGAUUGUAACGUUUUGUAACAGAAAACGAAACUUUUCUUUAAGCCAGACUUAUCUACUUUUUACUUAAUUUCUGUUUCACCUUUACCUGUACUGUAUAUAGGUAAUAUUUUACUUUUUUUAUUAUUUAUUCCUUCUUCAAACUUUCGAUUCUAUUUAUACUUCUAGUUUUUAAACUUUUUCA